UACGGGGGGGGCAAGCGUUGUUCGGAAUUACUGGGCGUAAAGGGCGCGUAGGCGGCCUUCUAAGUCGGACGUGAAAUCCCUCGGCUCAACCGAGGAACUGCGUCUGAUACUGGAUGGCUUGAGUUUGGGAGAGGGAUGCGGAAUUCCAGGUGUAGCGGUGAAAUGCGCAGAUAUCGGGAGGAACACCAGCGGCGAAGGCGGCACUCUGGUCUGGAACUGACGCUGAGGAGCGAAAGCGUGGGGAGCAAACAGG
rnacentral:rRNA from 1 species